AGAGUACGUGAAACCGUUCAGGGGUAAACCUGAGAAACCCGAAAGGUCGAAAGGGGAGAUUCAGCGUGUCUCGAUUGCGGCGCUGGAUGGUCGUGCGACGGAAGACGUACGCGUCAUCCGCACCUUCCGUCCUCCGAACCGUAGUCGAACGCGUGCACUUCUCCCCCUGUAGGACGUCGCGAUCCGUUGGGUGCCGGUCUAAGGCCCGCAAUGGAGCCCGUUCGGGCGGUUUACCGCUCCGGACGAACUUGCGGUGUUUCCCGGUCGGCUCGCUCGACGGUAUACAGAUGGCGCGGGGCCGCUACACAUUAGUUAGCGUCCGACCGGCGGCAAGCGCGCUCGUCGUGACGGUGAUCGGACCUGGUGCCGGUCCUGUCCCCGAGUGGCUGUUCGCUGCCGUGUUCUCGGACAGACCUCGUCGAAACGCCGAUCUGCGACGCUAUAGCUUUGGGUACUUUCAGGACCCGUCUUG
rnacentral:rRNA from 1 species